CAGGCUGGCUAGAUGGUCGCGGCGUUGAGGAAUCAGCGUCGAGGAAAGUCCGCACUCCACAGAGCAAGUUGCCGGGUAACACCCGGGGCGGGGAUUCUUCGGAAGAACCUGCCGGACAGGGCCACAGAGACAUACCGCUCGCAAGGGCAAGGGUGAAAAGGCGGUGUAAGAGACCACCGGCAUUACAGCAAUGUAAUGGCCAGGCAACCCCUAACCGGAGCAAGGCCAAGCAGGGACGAAGCCGUGAAAACGGCGGGAAGCGGCUCGCUUUCUUAUCAGUCUCGGGUAGGCUGCAAGAGCCGGUUGGUAACAACCGGUCUAGAGAGAUGACCAUCAGCCCGAAAACCGUGCCUUGGGCAUACCUUUUCGGGUUACAGAAUGCGGCUUAUCGGCUAGCCUGUACC
rnacentral:RNase_P_RNA from 1 species